CCAAUAUAUAUAGUAGGGGGGAAAGUGGGCAGCCUUGUCUGGAGCCGUUUGAGAUGGUGAACGGUUUGGAUAUGAAGCCUCCAUUCACCACUCGGGCUGUUGGCGUUGAGUAGAGUGCCGUGAUCAAUUUUAAGAAUUGAGGUGGGAAGUGAAAUCGUCGGAGGACCUCGAGGAGGAAGGGCCAGUGGAGCCUGUCAAAGGCCUUUUCGGCAUCCAGCGAGAGUAGUAUUGUUGGUGCCCCUCCUCCCCGUAUUCCGUGUAGCAUGUUGAGGAUUUUGCGCGUGCCGUCUGCCCCCUGUCUACCCCCCACGAACCCCACUUGAUCUCUUCCGAUCAGGGUUGGGAUGAUGGUUGUUAGUCUGUUCGAGAAGAUUUUUGCGAGGAGCUUCACAUCUGUGUUCAAUAGGGAUAUUGGGCGCAGAUUUUGGCUUCUAUCUGGCAGCUUCCCUGGUUUUGGGAGGGUAGCGACGUGUGCCAUCAGCAUUUCCCGUGGCAUAGUUCCUGUGAUCAGGACAUCGUUGAAUAGUUUUCGCAAGUAGGGGGCUAGGAGUGGGGCAAAUUGUUUGUAAUACAGGUUGGUUAGCCCAUCAGGGCCUGGUGAUUUCCCGGGAGGUAGGGCUUGUAUGGCCUCUAAGAUUUCUUGUGUGGUUAUUUGGUCUUGUAUGGAUUGCGCUUGGGUCGGGGAUAG